ACAAGAUUGUGAAAGUAUGUUACCUGCGAGUAUGGUUGUGACUUGUGAUAAAGGAGGUAGGUUCUUUGACCUGUUUAGCCAUCUACAACUCCACACAGGAUAGGUUUUUCUAAAUAUAAGAUAGAUCAGAGUUUAUCAUAGACAGAAUUUGGAGGUAGGUGUACCAUGAGUACUUAUGUGAGAAAGAGUGUUGCUUCUCGGACCGGGUUAGCUGUCUACAAAGGAUAGGCCUCUAAAGUUUAAACCAUUGAAUCUGACUUGGUGUAGUCAAAAGUUUGUCAGCCUUUUUGCAGUCUCAAUGUUCUCUCGUUGGUGAUGUGUUGCAUUCACUCAGUGCUCCCAUUUAUAAUCUCAUUCUGAAGUGAUCAAACAAAAUAAAUUAAGAUGCAAAACCUUCACAAUCACACAUCACCUGCUUUUACCCAUUCUACCAAAAGGAAUUGUAGUCACUGUUUACACAAUGGGUAAGGUAUAUAAAUUUAUAAAGGAUUGCACAUAAUUAUGAAGCAUAUUUCACGUAGUUAACUUGUCUUAUAUAUAUCUACUGCCAAAGAGAAAAGUGCUACUCAGCAUUGAGUUGUCACUUCCCGGGUUCUUGCAUAUUCCCAGUGUCCCAGUUGUAUCGUCAUUUAACUACUAGUUCCCUCUUACUUUCUUAGACUUGUAACAAAUUCGUAUAUUCGAUUUCAUUACUUUUGAUCUGAAAUAUGGAUACUAUCUGUCAUCCAGGAACCAUUGCCAGAUGAUAUGAUUGUUGCAAAUGAAGAAAACAAUGAUGUUUCAAAAGAGACAACAAUUGCCAGUGAGGAGAGUUGAAUGUUGAUGGACUUAUUAUUCAAGAACUUUGAGAAUGCAACGUGAAACAGCUCAUGCUUUCGAGAUCUCCCGUUCCAGGAGAUCAUCUCUCAUGAUAAUGAUUGUUAUAUGAUUGAGGGAAAAACUAUACGUUAGUGAUAUAGGUGAAAUUAGUUUGUAUGAGAAGACUUAACUGUAAAUGUGAUGAUACCUUAGUGAUUUGUCUUUAUUGUAUGAAUGUAAUAGAGAAGAUGCACUCAAAGUGGCUGUGCUGUUGAGAAAGUUUUUAUACUUGGGAGGCCUAUGCUUUA
rnacentral:lncRNA from 1 species